CCAUAACAUCCCUCCGGGCCUAAUUUCGGACCUCAUCCUGUCAAAACCAGCACUAUACCGUCCCUGCCUGCCUGCCUUCCGAGUUUCAGCUGAUCGCAUUCUACGUCUUCACGCUAUAUUGAUAUCCAUCAUUUCUCCGUCUCGAGGAGUGCCUUUCUCAGCUUGCUCGAGACCAUCAUUGAUGGCUGUCAUGUCAAAACUAAUGAAAGCGGUGAUUACGUAAUUCGUGUUUUGUGUUUGGGUUUAGGAUUUAUGAAUAAAGAAUGUUAUUUAGGUUGCUAAUUUACUUUGCUAUAUGUAUGACACGAAUGUUUUAGUAGUUUUGAAAUUGGAUGAUUGUGUGUAGUUUGGAUUUCUGUAGGAACACUUGGCGAAGGUGGAAUUGGGUAUGAGAGUUGGGGAACCUUUUUUCCAGGACAUCAUUGAAAUCAUGCCAUAUUUUACUGGCUUCCCAGUAUGAACAACUUAAGAACAUUGUUGAGUAGCCUUCUUGAUUUCUUUUUGCGUAUUUCAUCUUCUAGCUUUUAUCAUUUUUAACAGAAUUUAAAAUUUGAUUUUGCUAAAAGCUGCUGGCAAAUUUUACGGACAAGAGGUCAGUAAAUUAGUAAUAUUCCAGUUUUGUAGCGCGUUUCUUUGAUCAUAAUCUGUAUAUAAUGAUAUGUAUUCCAGUUUGCGACUAAUUCCUGUACGUACCCAAAUAGAUUAUGAGGUUUUAUAAUUAUGGACCAGCAGUAUGUCAUUUUUUUUAUUAAGAUUAAUUGUCUUUGAAACUAAUGUAAUUUCGUUAACAAAAUUCAGGUAAUUUUGCUAACGUGCAGUUUCCAACAAAAUGUUUGUUAUGAUAUACUCAUAAUUUUCCUGCUCUUAAUAUUUGAAUAAAACAUUUAAUAGUUUGUUGGUCAUAUUAACACGUUUAUGUCAUUUUUUUUAUUAAGAUUAAUUUUUAAUUGUCUUUGAAACUAAUGUAAUUUCGUUAACAAAAUUCUGGUAAUUUGGCUAACUUGCAGUUUCCAACAAAAUGUUUGUUAUGAUAUACUCAUAAUUUUCCUGCUCUUAAUAUUUGAAUAAAACAUUUAAUAGUUUGUUGGUCAUAUUAACACGUUACUAUGGCUGACAAACAAAUACUCUUUUGAUGAAGCUGAGUUAUUUCCAGAUAUUGCUUUAAGGAUCAAAUUUGAUGUUGAUUUUCUGAAAUUCAAUUCUUACCCAGCCUAAUAAGUAUAUACAUGCACAAGGUGCUCUUUUUAAGCAAGGAAUUUACGAUAAGAUAGUUGCCAGAAACCACCUACAUAGAUCAUCAGUUUGGCCUAUGCAACUGUCUUUUUAUUUGAUUAAUGUCAAGAUUCUUCUCUUGACUUUUAUCGACUCAUAUACUUGUACUUUGGACAGAAAGAUGAUGUUUUUAAAACAUUAAUCAAUGCCCCUCGGAGGCUGCUGCAAUCUGCAGUGAGAGAUGCUCUUGGCUCCCCAAGUUCAGGUGGAUUGAGUAAGGAGCCUUCAUAUAAACAGCUACGAUCUGUGGUUUCUACUUCUGUUGGGAGUCAUCACUUGAAGAUCGUACUCUAAACAUCCCGUCCGCUGCAAGAAUGUCUGAUGCCAGCAUGACAAUUGCUAUCAAAGCUGUAGCUGAAGCUAUCAAAGAUGUAGCCAAAGUCAGGUCCUCGUGAAAUGUAUUUGAUCGCCUAGGUCGUGGUGUAGAUGUUUCUAACACCCAUGCCCAUAUGACAGAGUCUAGAGAAGUUCCUGCUGAAGCUGAUAGAGAAUUUGCAGGUUUUGACUAUUUUCCCGAGGAAAAUCAAAUUACUCAUCGAUUUUGAUGAACCAUAAUCUAAGAGGACUGUGUUGGAAAGUUACCCCCGAUAUACUUCUGAUCAUGUGUCUGAUUAUGAACUAUAUGAGGGCGGCCAAAUUAAUGGUACAGAUGUUUCUCAUUCUAGCACAUCUGCUGGAAAUAGAGAUGAUGAUUCACUGAUGGUCCAGUAUAGUAGAAUGGUAAGGCUGAUUAAAGCACCUUUAAACUACGGAAUGAUCAGUAUAAGUCAGGCGCUGAUAAUAAUCUGACCUUAAAUAUAUCUGUGAACGUAAAUACCUAGAAACCACCUUAGUAUGGGGGGACAUUGCCACUAAGUAAAAGGAAAAUUGUUCAAAGGAGUGAUGCAGGAGCUGAGAAACUAAGUUCCCAGCUGAUAAAUGCAGGAGUUGACAAAUUAAGUUCCCAGCCGAUAAGGAACAACAAUCCUAUUACGUUUCUUCUAAGUGUUUCUUAUCAGUUUAGUUAAGAUAUUAUAUAUAGACAUUUAGGAAUGUAAUUAGGCUUGAUAUAAAUUAUACAUUUUAUUUAGCAAAAAAAAAUUUAUACAUUUUAGGCUUGAAUUAACCAUGUGUCAAGUCGAUUCGAACACUACAUAUCUUACUCUCAAAAUGAAAGGGAAUUGACAAAGUGUUUGCAGGGACUACAAGACAACAUCGAAUUAGUGCCUAUUAACCUUCAAUAAAGGCCUGGUACAAGGAGAAAGUUUACCCAGAGAAUAAGGGUUUCAGGAAAUUUACCAAGACAAUUUAAUGUCUGCUAGAGAUGAAAGAAUGAGAAAGACUUCUGAAUAUCUUAGAAACACGAGGAUCCUCAAGUUACAAGCUUGGGAGGAUAGGUACCGCCUGUAGCUCGAAGAGAUGCGGUCUCUGGAGUUUAAAUGGCUAUACUCGCAGGUUUUUAUUACAUUUAUCUUUUGGAGCUCCCCUAUAUUUGUUUCAGCUGUCACUUUGGAACUGCAAUAUUGUUAGGGGAUGAACUUACUGCAGGUGCUGGCCUUGUUUGUGGAUGCAAGUAAAAUUAUGGUCAUUUUGAAGUUUAUUCCAUCAGGUCACUUAAUGUUUGUCGCCACAUAUAUACAUAUAUAAUAACAUGUUCUAAUGCAAUUUCGGGAAUCUAUUAUUUUAUGCUAAUGCAUUUUCGGUACUUCUUAAAUAAUUGUUUUUCAAAAUGGGGUAGUAGUUAAAACAAGAAACUAUGUCCAAGCGGAAUUGAUUUCAUGUAAUCGACAUUCCCCUGUUGGAUGUAUUGGAAAAGAUUUUUUAGGAUGAUGAAAAGAAUAUAGGUAGAAGCAUUUUUUAUCAUCAUAUGCUUUCAGCUGUAAUACGUAAAUUAAUUAUAUAGGCCCAAAUUCCAAAAUUAUCUUUUUUCUACUUAAAAAAAUUUCAAGAUAUUUACUUGCCGUAGUAAUCAAAAUUAUUUAGGGGUUGCUUAUAUAAGGAAUACAUACCCAUCUAGUCUGUUAAAUUAUCUACCACUGUUUUGGUGAUCUGGUCUACUCUAUAGAGACAGAGGUAUGCCCUUUACGGGUUCCUUUCGUUUUGCUUAUUUUGCAUCUCACUAUCUAAUAUUAAAUCAUACCUUUUAUGGAACCGUUUAAAUUUAAUUAAUAUUACAUGUGUGUAGAAAUACUAUAUGGCGCCUUCAAGAGAACUGUUCUGCAAUUACCGGCAUCCAAAAAUCGCCAGUAAUCCACCUAUUUUUCGAGUCAAUUGCUGGAGCAGCAACAAUAAGAAGGUUUGGGGAGGAAAAGCAAUUUAUGAAGAGGAACUUAUAUCUUGUUGAUUGUUUUGCCAAUCCAUUUUUCUACAGCCUAUCUUCUCUACUAAAAAGUCUUACUUCCAUUUUUUUAAAGCUCUUGCACUUUAUCAUGCUCUUUAACAAGCUCGACAGAGAAUCCAACCAGACCACUGUGCGUAAGCUAAUGGAUAAGAUGGCAAAAGAAGCGUUUGUUGAAUCUCAAAGAAAUAAAAGACUUGGUAUCAAACCCUCUAGAAUCCAGUAUACAACCAGUUAUUCCAUAAAAUACACGAGACUUGCUGUUAGCUGCAGUAUCGCUUAGGCCUGAGGCUUCCACAAGACUUCGCUGGAAGACACAAGAAAUUUUUACAUUAAAUUUUGAUAACAAAAUUUCCGAAGUACUCCGUCAGAUAGCAGACUAUAAUCUCUGUGACCGGAUGCGAUCCCCUUCCUGGUGAAACUCGCAGCCGCGAAUAUAUGUCCUCUGUAUGGUAAUAGUGGAAGGCCAUUGGAGCAUCACAGAUACUAGACUUUGUUGCAGCCAACAUGGUAAUGAGAGGAACACGGUUAAAACAAUUCAGGGAAUGACCACAUUAUGAACCUUGCAAAACUAUCAGUUUCCAGGAAUUCUAUAUGAGCAGCUCUUCCAAUAAAGAGUGAUAUGGAACGUAACCAUCCUGUGGUGAUGACAUCAGUAUUAUGUUCUUGAAAUUAUCCAAGAGUUCGCUCCAUUGGAUCAGAUCUAACUCGCGUGAUAGGCAAGUCUGAUGUUUAUCAGAGCGGAUUUGUCAGAAGUGACCAUACUGUUGUAAAGAUGAAAGAGCAUCGAACUCCCACAAGCAGAGUUCAGCUAGCAGCUUCUACAAAGAGUUUUGCACAAGUAAUGAAAAUUGCAGAACCAAUGGAAACCGUGACAAUUGCAGUGAGUUUGAUGCAAUCAUGUGUAGCAAGUCAUCAUCUCAGCAAGCGGUCAAGGAUUCUAUCCUUCAAUACACUAAGCGCCAGAAGGCUCAAGUUGCCUGAAAAGAAUUGGACUGUAUGGCCUAACAAUUCCAGAGUUUCUUUCCACUUAUUCCUAUUUCAUGAGAUAAGGAGACUCGUCUACUGCAUCUAUUACUUGAACCAGCUUUCUUCCUUUUUUCGUUGCACCUGGUGAUUCGUAACUGGAUAUGUAAUAUAUAUGCUUAUUAUGUUUUAGACUCUACUGCAUCUAUUACUUGAAUCAGUUUUCUUCUUUUUUUUUCGUUGCACCUGGUGAUUCGUAACUAUGCUUAUUAUGUUUUAGACUCAUGUUAAUUUAGGUAAGGCGCACUAACUUUCAUGUUGGUGUCUUGAGCACCUUUUGUUGAGUGGUUUUUAUUGUGUAAUAUAAAUUCUCUCUCAUUUUAUGUGACACUUCUCCUGUCAAGUCAAGUUUGUGUUCAUUUAUAAAAAUAACUGAUUCAUGCCAGGCCCGUGCAUUGCACGGGCACUAAUGCUAGUAUAUACUAAAGUCAGACAAAAUACCAUCUUUAUUCUAUUACAAGAUCUGUUAAAAAAAAUUCCAAACUUUGUUUUCUUAUUAUUUUGAUAGAAAAAUUGUAUUAUGGGACAUCCUAACUUGCUUAGAAAACUGCCGAUUAGUUUCACUUGACACUCAAUAUAGUAUGUAAAUCGGAUCAAUCAAGCAAAAAAUCCGGUAAUGAGAACCUCAUGCAAUGCGCACAGUUUGGAACCCGUUUUUCUUUGAUAAAAUCUUGCUACGGUCUAUUCAACUCGGGUGAGCGUCCGAAACAUGUGAAAUUCCCGUAAUCUUUUAAAUCAAAAUAAGACUCGUUUUCACCGGUACAGCCCUCCCACUCAGUUUUCUUAUUAUUUUGAUACCAUAUACGUUAGAACUAAAAUUAUUUUAUUGAAAUUGAGUUGUUAUUAAAAUAGUUUUCCCGAAUUUUAUUUGAACUAAAAUUCAAGGCAUUUAUUUUAUCGACAAACUAUGCAAGUAACAGUUUAUUAUUGACCAUUUCGUAUAUAAUGUCUAGUUCUAUAAGCAAUCAAAGAGAACAGAGGGUCAAUUGCUCCGUCGUUGGAGAACAUUCUAACGCCUCUUCACCCAGCCCAUACCAGAUUACUAUUUGUUUUAAAAAGAUUGCUGGUUGAUUAUCUCUGGAAAGAUAUAUACGAGAAGAUUGGGUUUGUGAGUGGAAGAGCAGUUUAUAGAAGAGAAUAAAAGACUAGUACAGGACAAAAGAUCAAGAUUAAAGUAACCAAUAACGAGGAGAAAUUGUCAAAUGAAUCUUGUAAAGAUGGUAAAAGAAGCUAAAUGUACAGAGCAGAAGCUACGACAGAAGAAAAAGAAUGCUUUUACUUCCUCGGGAUUUUUGCCUUUCUGCAAAUUACUCACUUUGGCAGAAAAACUCUGUAUCUUUAUAUGAGUUCCUAUUUGCACUAUUAUACUUGAUUUUACAGAAUGGCUGGAAAAUGAGGUCCUGCAGUUAAAAUUGAUCUGGGAACCAUGUAUUCAUGUAUUAGAGUUUGGCAAGCUAGGGCCUUUUUUCCCAGUUGUGGACUCAUCGUGAAGUUUUGGAAGCCCAAUAGGGAGAAGAUGGUGAUUUGGCUUUGGAUGAAGCACCUGUUAUAGGAUUUUGGAGUGGAUUUAUUUGGCUGGUUGCGAUGACUGUUAUAUCAGUGUUAUCUUAGAACCAUCAGCCUCCUGGGGAUUAUCUGCAAGUUUCGUCAUCAUCAUUCUAUUGCCUAUUGUCAGAAAAUUUUUGCUUUCAAAAACAAGCUGGAUAUAAGUUUGGGUGCUGCUCUUGGUUCUACAACACAAAUUGCCCUUGUUUGUGACAGGGUUAUCUCUUGACAUCAUAUCCAGGAACUUGCUCCAUUGAGAUUCUUCUGAAAGUGCAAAUGUCUAAAAGAGGAUUGCAGCCCCUCACCAGCCUCUACCCAAAUGUAGUCGCAAAGGAAGACUUCCUCACACCGAAUAAGCUUGCACCUUUCAAGAAUUAUUCUUCUCAGCUGGCAGCUCUAGACUUUAAAUCUUGUGCAACUGCGCGCAGAUGUAUUCGCAAUGACAAAUUCAGGUUGUCAACUAUCAUCGCCCGUUUUCGAACAUAUUUUGAUGGUGGCCAUGCUCCAACCUUGUAUAUCUGACAUUCCCCCUAAUGCAGGAGGCUGAGAGGACCUGGUACUUAAUUUUACGUGGAAAAAAUUGUUGAUGCAUGUACUACAAAACUCACAAGAAGUGGUAAAGGUUGUUGAUGCAUGUACUACAAAACUCAUAAGAAGUAAAUAUAAGUAGGAAAGGAUAGAAUAAUUAUGAUCUCAAUUGCAUUUCUAGAACCAAGAUUCUUUCAAAAAAUGUUAGGCACAUUUUUUUUUCUCAACACGUGUAAAAGAUCUUUGUAAAAUUAAUUACAUUCA